rnacentral:rRNA from 1 species
UACGGAGGGGGCUAGCGUUGUUCGGAAUUACUGGGCGUAAAGCGCACGUAGGCGGCUUUGUAAGUUAGAGGUGAAAACCCGGAGCUCAACUCCGGAACUGCCUUUAAGACUGCAUCGCUUGAAUCAUGGAGAGGUCAGUGGAAUUCCGAGUGUAGAGGUGAAAUUCGUAGAUAUUCGGAAGAACACCAGUGGCGAAGGCGACUGACUGGACAUGUAUUGACGCUGAGGUGCGAAAGCGUGGGGAGCAAACAGG